rnacentral:sRNA from 1 species
UUCAAAUCCAGUUAGACUGUGAGCAGACGGCAGCUUCUCGUUGGUUCCUGUGUUGUUCCCCGGCAAGCCUUGUCGCCAAGAAGAUACAAACCUGGUUCCGGUGUAUACGUAAGUCGUCUAUUGGAAGUAUGUCGUCUCUAAACUCGACAACUACGACAGGAAUGUCUCUUAGCCUAAGAAGGGAGCUAUUUAAACGGUUAGGCUACCCAUCGUUAUCAACAGCUUUCCAGGCAGACUUGGAGAUUCCGUCUAUCCAAGACGUACUGACG